CCUGAUUACUGUUCCUUCCCAUCCCUAGCUACAGUUGCAAGGCUCUGGUUUUCUGCUGAAGGUGAAACUGAGUAAGACUGAAGAUAAUCAGUGGUGUUGAAGAAUCACUUUCCUUUGGAAAUGGAAUCAGAUUCAAAAUCCAAAUCCUUGAUCAUUCAAGUUGACAACAAGACAUAUGAUGAUGUUAACGUGACUGCUAGUGCCAGACCACUCUUCAAGUUGCUGGAUGGUAACAUGAUUUUCUUCUAGUACAAAUGGCUAGCAUCAAUCGUCUCCAAAAGAGUUCGUGCUAAAACGAGCGAAAAAGUGAAUGAAGUCACCAAUUGGAAUGCCAUCACCUACCUAUUUGGAAAUUGUGGAUGGAAACUUUACAACAUCACUGUAGUUAGAUCAUCAGAUGGAUUCAUUGCUGAAUGUACAACUCCAUUGUGCUGUACUUGGGUAAUUGAGGAGAAUGGAAUGCAUCAAGAAGACAAUCCAAAAAACCUCUGCAAAUUUAAGCCAGUGCCUAAAGAUCUGGUAGAAUAGAGAAUUCGUUGUGAUUCCAUUGUAUAAGCCAAAUUAUUUUGUGUAAUAUGGCAGUGCAAUUGGUUUAAUUUCAACAUAUAUUAGCUAUAGCCUGCUGUUUUU